CGCGUAGGUAACCUGCCUGGUAGCGGGGGAUAACUAUUGGAAACGAUAGCUAAUACCGCAUAAUAGUAGAUGUUGCAUGACAUUUGCUUAAAAGGUGCAAUUGCACCACUACCAGAUGGACCUGCGUUGUAUUAGCUAGUUGGUGGGGUAACGGCUCACCAAGGCGACGAUACAUAGCCGACCUGAGAGGGUGAUCGGCCACACUGGGACUGAGACACGGCCCAG
rnacentral:rRNA from 1 species